rnacentral:rRNA from 1 species
AGAGUUUGAUCAUGGCUCAGAACGAACGCUGGCGGCGUGGAUUAGGCAUGCAAGUCGAACGAUCUGCUGUAAUGCGGAGAGUGGCAAAAGGGUGAGUAACACAUAGGUAAUCUACCUUCAGGCUUGGAAUAACUUUGCGAAAGCGGAGCUAAUACUGAAUGUGAUCCUUGACACAAAGUGUUAAGGAUUAAAGUCGGGGACCCCAACAGGGCCUGACACCAGAAGAGGAGCCUGUGUCCUAUCAGCUUGUUGGUGAGGUAAUGGCUCACCAAGGCGAAGACGGGUAGCUGGUCUAAGAGGAUGGUCAGCCACACUGGGACUGAGACACUGCCCAGACUCCUACGGGAGGCUGCAGUCGAGAAUCUUUUGCAAUGCCCGAAAGGGUGACAAUGCGACGCCGCGUGAGCGAUGAAGUCCUUCGGGAUGUAAAGCUCUGUCAGUCCGGAUGAAUAUCUAUUUUUUAACAAAAAAUAGAGAUGACAGUACGGGCAGAGGAAGCCACGGCUAACUCCGUGCCAGCAGCCGCGGUAAUACGGAGGUGGCAAGCGUUGUUCGGAUUUAUUGGGUGUAAAGGGUAUGUAGGUGUCUCAAUAAGUCAUAUGUGAAAUCCCUUGGCUUAACCAAGGAACUGCAUAUGAUACUGUUGAGAUUGAGCAUGGAAGAGGAGAGUGGAAUUCCCGGUGUAAGGGUGAAAUCUGUAGAUAUCGGGAGGAACACCAGUGGCGAAAGCGGCUCUCUGGUCCAAUGCUGACACUGAAAUACGAAAGCUAGGGGAGCAAACAGGAUUAGAUACCCUGGUAGUCCUAGCAGUAAACGAUGGGCACUAGGUGUAGGCCGCAAGGUCUGUGCCGCAGUUAACACAUUAAGUGCCCCACCUGGGGAGUACGGCGGCAACGUUGAAACUCAAAGGAAUUGACGGGGGCCCGCACAAGCGGUGGAGCAUGUGGUUUAAUACGACGCUACGCGUGGAACCUUACCAGGGCUUGACAUGCAUGAAGUAGAAACCUGAAAGGGAGACGACCCGUUAAGUCGGGAACUUGCACAGGUGUUGCAUGGCUGUCGUCAGCUCGUGUCGUGAGAUGUUGGGUUAAGUCCCGCAACGAGCGCAACCAUCGUUAUUAGUUGCUACUUUUGGUUUACCAAAAGGCACUCUAGUAAGACUGCCAGUGUUUAACUGGAGGAAGGUGGUGACGACGUCAAGUCAGUACGGCCCUUACGCCCUGGGCUACACACGUGCUACAAUGGCUGGUACAAUGAGACGCAAUACCGCGAGGUGGAGCAAAUCUCAAAAAACCAGUCUCAGUUCAGAUUGAAGGCUGCAAUUCGCCUUCAUGAAGCUGGAAUCGCUAGUAACCGCAGAUCAGCUAUGCUGCGGUGAAUACGUUCCCGGGUCUUGUACACACCGCCCGUCAAGUCACCUGAAUCGAGUGCACCCGAAGUCACUAUUCUGACCCGCAAGGGGGGAAGGUGCCGAAGGUGUGCUUGGUGAGGAGGACUAAGUCGUAACAAGGUA